AUUGUUUCAAUAAAAAAUAUCAUAAUAGUUCUCUCUCUCCAAAAAGGUUUCCCUUCCCUCUCAAAGACUCUCACCCAAAACCCAUUUCUCCUCCAUUGCCGACUGCAUUUCGCCGCCUAUCUCCACCACUCGGUAUCGUCACCGCCCAUCUCCAUGAUUCAGUGUCGUUGCCGCCCAUCUCCGUCCCUGUAUUUCCUCCAAUGUCGUCGUGUACUCUCCUCCAUAGCCUAAUUUCGUCAUUGUUCUAAAUCCUAACUUCAGCGAUUUUCCUCCAUUGUCGGCGUGUACUCUCCUCCAUAGCCAUCUCCAUUGCUGAAUGCUCUCCUCAUCAAAAACAUGAAACCCAUCUUAAACGUUGUUGAGCCUUCCCUAUCUAAAAUGGCUAUUCUUAGGAGCGCCGGUGAGCAAACCCCCGAGAAGACAACGAGCGACGGCUCCGAAGGGUCUUCCAAACGGAACCCACCAUCGCCGCCUAGCACGAGGAAGAACCAUGAGCCUCCUGAUAUUUCACAUCGUUCAACCAAGAAGAAGAAGGUUGAGGAAGAGAUGGAGGUGUGCUCAGAGUCUGAUUCCGAUGAAGAAGGCCCACCCGACACUCCAUUGUUAAAGAGGAUAUGAUCGGUGGGAAGCUUGUGUACACAUCAGACUAUGAUCAUAGAAGAGUGAUCAAGGAGAAUCUAUCCAAAGAAUAACUUGCUAUGUUGAGGAAAUCGACUAUUGGAUACCUUAUUGGCAUCAAUCCUUUUGUAUACCAGUCACAACUCCUGCACCAUGUGUUUGUGAGGGAGGUUAAAUAACCGAACCCCGAUGAGAAUUUGUUUUAUGUUGGUGAGAAGAGGAUUAGGUUUGGUAUGGCUGAGUUUGGUCUUAUAACUAAAUUGAAGUGCGUUGGAGAAUCUGAUUUGUCACAUUUUGCUCAAGUUGAAAAUGGGAUGUGUGAUAGAUACUUUCCUGACCAAACUUUCAAGUAUGGAGAUAUCAAGGAUAGGUGUACAGUCAAGUAUAGAAACGAUGUUGUGGCUGUGAAGUUUGCUAAAUUGCGUCUAACAGACAACUUUUUGCUUUCAAAGGAUAAAGACAAACGAGUUGAUGGGGCAAGCUAGCAUUUGAAGCAACAUUCCCUUCUCUUCUCUGAGGAAAUGUGUCAAGGGGAAGAACUUGAAGAACACUAUAUAUGCUAAGAAGCCCAAGGUUUUUAAAUGGAAGAAGCUAAGCUUCAUGUACAAGUUGGAGGGUUGUCCUUGGUUAUUCCAUGUCUAGGUAUAUAAGUGCAUCAAGACCUCGAGGAAGAAACACAUUUGUCAAUGUUUACCAAAUUCACCAUGCUUAACUGUAUAUAUGAUUUAUAUAUAUCACGAAAUAAAUAUUUUUUUUUUA